rnacentral:lncRNA from 1 species
AACAAAUGUGGCUUUGGACACAGUGGUGCUCACAGAGGGGCAUGAGGAAGAUGGAGGGGGCUGGUGAGGGGGGAUGAGGCAAUGGGAACCAGGGCCUGGCUGGAUCCGGGCCCAUGGGGUCAGAGGUUGCAGCUCCCUAUGGAAUAUUCUGCCUAGGGCAAUGGUGAGGAGGUGACUGCAGCUCCCUCUGAGCAGGACCUUCUGGACUGUCUAUCCACCUCCUGAUGCCAUGAGGGUGGUGCCCACCGUGCUUUGGGAAGACGAACUCUCGUCCCGCACCCCCGGGGACAAGCUGUGCUGUGGCUACGGGGGCAGCGGAGGGUGGCCUCCGUCUCUUCUCCUUCUGCCUCUGAACUGAUUUCUCGCUAGAUUCCCUCUCUCCAGUGGGGCAUUGGUGGGAACCAUGGGCUGUGAGCACAGUUCAGGCAGGGCUGGGUUUAAAUCUUGCCUCUGCCAUUCACUGGCUCUGAGGCUUUGGGGAAAUCCCAUCCCGCUUUGAGCCUCGGUUUCCUCAACUGUGAAAUGGGAGUGAGAAAAAUUUUUGGCAAAUGUGUUCCCCACCUAAUUCCCAAAGAGAUUUGGAAUGGCAGCAGAUAGGGAUCACAGUGGCCUGGUGACUCAUGAGGCUACUGAGAGGACAGAUGAGACAACCCACGAGGGCAUCUACACAGCGCUCUAUAAAUACGCGUCUCCUUACAUGGCUAAUCCAGGGCCCCACAAAAGCCCGGGGCCUCCGUCCGUCUCUCUGUGGGAGGGUGUGGCCGUGGGAAGGCUGGGCGGGGCCCUCCCCAAGGCUCCUUCCAGCCAGACACAGCCUCUUCCCGCUGGGCUUCGUUCUGCUCUGAACAAAGCUGGGCAGCUGGGUGGGUUUUAUGUGUCUUCGCUCCCCCUUUCCUCCCAUCUGUUUCGGGGUAGUGGGUUUAGACUCAGAGAGACCUGUAUGGUCUCAGCUCUGUCACUAACCAGCCUGGUGACCUCACACAAGUUCUUCAAUCUCUAUGUGCCUCGCUUUCCUCAUCUACAAAAUGGGAAUAAACAUAACAACUAAUGGGUUCUUGUGGGGAGUAAAUGAGAUGAGGAACGUACAAGCCUCCAAGAGCUUUCCCAGCUCAUAGCAGGUGGCCCUGACACUCUUGUCCUGCCCUUCCCAGCAGGAGCUCAGUGUCUCAUGUUCCAAAACAACCUUCCACAACCUCACUUCCCCCUCAGACAAUUCCCACUCCUUCUCUCUGUCUGCUGCAGGGCCUCAGGAGGAAACUGCUGUGUGUGUGUCCAGGGCUCUUGGCUGGAAGCAGAACUGGGGCAAGGGGUGCCGGCUAAGUGACAGCCGCCUGGGAGGAGGGCCUUGGCACCGGUGAGUGAAUGCAAUUAGUACUGAGGAGGCCCAGGUUUCCUGUGCAUAUGGGCCUGUUAACUGGGCCACUGCGCUCCUCUCAAUGAACACUGAUUAGCGAGGUUUGAGCAGGGUGCUGGCCCCAGGCGGGUGGGUAGGAGAAAUAGGAGUGGGUCAUAGAGAUUAGCAACAACAAUAAUAAUAACAGCCAUCACUUAUUGAGUGCUUAGCAUGGUUAUUCUAAGAGCAACGUGUGCAUUACUUUAAUCUUGAUCUUUGCUCUUUGAGAGUUAAUAUUAAUAAUGAUUAUCACUACCAUUAUCUAGUACUUAUCCUGCUCCAGCCUCUAUGUCACACACUGAACACACAUUUUCUCAAUUAUUCCCCCAACAACCCUCUGAAGCAGAUACCAUUACCAUCCCCAUUUUACAGGUGAGGGAGCUGAGGCCCACGUAAGUUCCUGGGGCCAGAUCAGUGCUUCUCACACAUGAGUGGCACACACAAAACAGCUGAGGGUCUCGUUCAACUCGAGAUUCAGCAGGUCUGGGGGGGGAGGCCUGAGACUCUGCGUUUCUAACAGGCUCCUGGGUGAUGGGGAUGCUGUUGGCUUGUGGUCGACCCUGGAGCAGGGUGGUCGUAGAUGACCCAGCUGGGGAGAGGCCGAGCUGGGAUCCCAGCACACACUGUCAUGCAGCUAAAUCAAGUGUGGGGCUGACUUUGAAAAGCACCAUAAUGAGAGAGAGAAUCAGAGAGACUGUGUGAGAGGACAGAGGAGGGAGGGCCUGCUUCUGACCAGAGGGUUGAAGGAAGCCUGCCUGGAGGAGGUGGUUUGAGGAGGGCCUUAAAGGAUGGGUAAGAUUUUGACAGAGAUGAAAGGGGAGGGGCAUCUCAGGCCCAGGGAACCCAUGAGCAAUAAUAUGGAGAAACAAAUGAGUGGGAUGCAUUUGGGAGAUAUUGCUGAAGCAUAGGGUAUGUUAGCAGUUGAACUGUGGACCCCCAAAAUUCGUAUGUUGGAGUCCUAACCCCCGACCUCAGCAUGUGACCUUAUGUGGAAAUGGAGUCACUAUGAAUGUAAUUGGUUAAGAUGAGGUCACAGUGGAGUAGGGUGGGCCCUAAUCCAAUAUGACUGGAGUCCUUACAAAAAGGGGAGAUUCGGACGCAAAGACACAUGCACAGGGAGAAUGCCUUGUGAAGAUGGGAGUUAUGCCUCCACAAGCCAAGGACUCCCAGACCCUGGGAGGGAGGCUUGGACCGGAUCCUCCCCUCCCCCCUUCAGAGGGCACGCAGCCUCGUCAACACCUUGAUCUUGGACUGACUUCUCACCUCCAGAACGGGGAGACGAUAACUUCCUGUGGUUUAAGCCACUCAGCGUGUGGUACUUGGUUAUGGCAGGCCUAGCAGACUUACGCAGGGCAUCUGUUGGGUGCCUGCUUUGUGUGUUGGCAAAUGGCCUCAAGAGAGAAAAAUGCCCCUUUGUGCCUAACAACUGCAAUUUUAGCCCCAAGAAGAUCCCUUGUCACAAGGGGAAACAGUAUGCAUAACGAUGGGAAAGGUGACCCAGAGCGGGGACACUUGACGAAGGGAAGGAGUCCGAAAUCAGGAGGUCUUACAACACCCUUGUGAGGAAGGAAGAAUUAUUAUCUCCAUUUCAGAUGAGGCUGAGUGGCCAAGCAAAAUGCACACGGCCACUGAGUGUGGACAGCCAAGAGCCAAACACAGGUUGAGUCCAGAGCUCAAGGGAGAGAAACCUCCAAGUAGCUGAGUAAGCCCAGUGUGGAGACCCCCUUUCCCAGAGAAGAGAGAUCAGAGCUGCAAGAGAGGCUCCAGGUAAAGCACAGGAUUUCCUGAGCUGAGUCCUCACAGGUUUGAACCGGCUGAGAUCAGCAGCAUCUGAUCCAUCGUGAGCACUGGGGCCGAGCAUACUGACCCCGGGCGGGAACAGCCUGCGGACUUGGACUUAAACGAAAUCAUAAAAGCAACCACCUAAGAAGUACUUCUUAUGGGCCAGGCACCAUGAACAUUCUUUCAUUUAAGCCUCACAAACAUAAGUGGGAAAUAUUGCGAAUACUAGGUUUCAACUGUGGAAAUAGAGGCCUAAAAGGGUUAAAUGAUUUGCCCAGGGUCCGUCAGCUAGUAAGUGUCUGAAUGGAGAUUUGAAUCCAGGUCACCUGCCGAUGUUAGCCGAAAUGCCACCUCCUCCAGGAAGCCCUCCCUGAACACCAAGACCCGCCAGAACAGAUCCCUUUAUUAUGCUCCAGCAUUCU